GACCCCAGGUCAGGCGGGGACACCCGCCGAGCUUAAGCAUAUCAAUAAGCGGAGGAGAAGAAACUUACGAGGAUUCCCCUAGUAACGGCGAGCGAACCGGGACC
rnacentral:rRNA from 1 species